CAUUGGUUGAGAGUUGUUGCCCCUCUCCUGAUGAGUCCAAGACAGGACGAAACCAAUG
rfam:Helianthus annuus linkage group 11, whole genome shotgun sequence.